CUCACCGCAGGUGCUGGAUAGAAAACCCACACCUCUGGCCAGGUGCGGUGGCUCACGCCUGUAAUCCCAGUACUUUGGAAGGCCAAGGCUGGUGGAUCACUGGAGGUCAAGAGUUCUUUCUAGGCGCAGAAUGGGGGAGAGCUACCUUUGUCCCCGUCCCACCCACUUCAGUUUCUCAUAGCCUCAAAAUCAAAAUCAUAGAGGUAGGAAAGAUCUUAAGAUCAAGUCUCACCCAUCCAUGUUAUAGAUGAGGAAGAUGAGGCCCUGAGAGCAGAAGUGAUCGCAUCCUUGGUAGAAGUCUGUGUGAAAUGGGGUGUGCAAAGGAGGGUAUCAAAGUGCGGCAGGUCC
rnacentral:lncRNA from 1 species